CCCUUAGAUGUUCUGGGCGGCACGCGCGCUACACUGGUUUAUAUAACGUGUAAUUUGGACGAUAGUCUGUAUAAAUCACUAAUAUAAAACCGUGAAUGGGAUAGUUUAUUGCAACUUACAAACUUUAACUAGGAAUCCCUUGUAGAAGUAGUGAAUUAUACUGCUUCGAAUACGUCCCUGCCGAUUGUACACACCGCCCGUCGUUUCUUCCGACUGGUACUCAUUGUGAAUUGCGAGGAGAUUCUGUCAAAUCGUUGUAAAUGCUGGGUAUUGGAGGAAGAAAAAGUCGUAACA
rnacentral:rRNA from 1 species